CGGGAGGGCAAGCGUUAUCCGGCAUAACUGGGCGUAAAGAGUCCGUAGACUGUAAAUAAGUUGCUUGUUAAACUUAAAGCUUAACUUUAAAUGGCUUGCAAUACUGUUUACUUGAGUUUUAUGCAGAAGAGUAGAAUUUUAUACGAAGGGUAAAUCUGAAAAUAUAUAAAGGAAUACCAGUAGCGAAGGCGACUCUUUGGUAAAAACUGACGUUGAGGGACGAAGUAUGGGUAGCAAACAGGAUU
rnacentral:rRNA from 1 species